GGGACACGUGGUAUCCUGUCUGAAUAUGGGGGGACCAUCCUCCAAGGCUAAAUACUCCUGACUGACCGAUAGUGAACCAGUACCGUGAGGGAAAGGCGAAAAGAACCCCGGCGAGGGGAGUGAAAAAGAACCUGAAACCGUGUACGUACAAGCAGUGGGAGCACGCUUAGGCGUGUGACUGCGUACCUUUUGUAUAAUGGGUCAGCGACUUAUAUUCUGUAGCAAGGUUAACCGAAUAGGGGAGCCGAAGGGAAACCGAGUCUUAACUGGGCGUUAAGUUGCAGGGUAUAGACCCGAAACCCGGUGAUCUAGCCAUGGGCAGGUUGAAGGUUGGGUAACACUAACUGGAGGACCGAACCGACUAAUGUUGAAAAAUUAGCGGAUGACUUGUGGCUGGGGGUGAAAGGCCAAUCAAACCGGGAGAUAGCUGGUUCUCCCCGAAAGCUAUUUAGGUAGCGCCUCGUGAAUUCAUCUCCGGGGGUAGAGCACUGUUUCGGCAAGGGGGUCAUCCCGACUUACCAACCCGAUGCAAACUGCGAAUACCGGAGAAUGUUAUCACGGGAGACACACGGCGGGUGCUAACGUCCGUCGUGAAGAGGGAAACAACCCAGACCGCCAGCUAAGGUCCCAAAGUCAUGGUUAAGUGGGAAACGAUGUGGGAAGGCCCAGACAGCCAGGAUGUUGGCUUAGAAGCAGCCAUCAUUUAAAGAAAGCGUAAUAGCUCACUGGUCGAGUCGGCCUGCGCGGAAGAUGUAACGGGGCUAAACCAUGCACCGAAGCUGCGGCAGCGACGCUUAUGCGUUGUUGGGUAGGGGAGCGUUCUGUAAGCCUGCGAAGGUGUGCUGUGAGGCAUGCUGGAGGUAUCAGAAGUGCGAAUGCUGACAUAAGUAACGAUAAAGCGGGUGAAAAGCCCGCUCGCCGGAAGACCAAGGGUUCCUGUCCAACGUUAAUCGGGGCAGGGUGAGUCGACCCCUAAGGCGAGGCCGAAAGGCGUAGUCGAUGGGAAACAGGUUAAUAUUCCUGUACUUGGUGUUACUGCGAAGGGGGGACGGAGAAGGCUAUGUUGGCCGGGCGACGGUUGUCCCGGUUUAAGCGUGUAGGCUGGUUUUCCAGGCAAAUCCGGAAAAUCAAGGCUGAGGCGUGAUGACGA
rnacentral:rRNA from 1 species